rnacentral:misc_RNA from 1 species
GAUGAAGAACGUAGCGAAAUGCGAUAAGUAGUGUGAAUUGCAGAAUUCAGUGAAUCAUCGAAUCUUUGAACGCACAUUGCGCCCCUUGGUAUUCCAUGGGGCAUGCCUGUUAGAGCGUCAUUUGUACCUUCAAGCCUUGCUUGGUGUUGGGUGUUUGUCUCGCCUCUGCGCGCAGACUCGCCUCAAAACAAUUGGCAGCCGGCGUAUUGAUUUCGGAGCGCAGUACAUCUCGCGCUUUGCACUCAGAACGACGACGUCCAAAAGUACAUUUUUACACUCUUGACCUCGGAUCAGGUAGGGAUACCCGCUGAACUUAAGCAUAUCAAUAAGCGGAGGA